UACGUAGGUCCCGAGCGUUGUCCGGAUUUAUUGGGCGUAAAGGGAACGCGGGCGGUCUUUUAAGUCUGAUGUGAAAGCCUUCGGCUUAACCGGAGUAGUGCAUUGGAAACUGGGAGACUUGAGUGCAGAAGAGGAGAGUGGAACUCCAUGUGUAGCGGUGAAAUGCGUAGAUAUAUGGAAGAACACCAGUGGCGAAAGCGGCUCUCUGGUCUGUAACUGACGCUGAGGUUCGAAAGCGUGGGUAGCAAACAGG
rnacentral:rRNA from 1 species